ACCAGGCUCAGUGCAGAAUCCUAUGUCCGUUUUAACAUUUAUUCAAAGCGCACUCCUCUCAUUGUUCCCAUUGGUAGAUGUCUACAUUACAUUCUUCCUAGUCAAAAUUACAUUCUUACUAGUCAGAAUUCUAAUUAAAGAUAUCUUCAAUCACAUUUUUGCUUGCAGAAACUGAAUUUUAAGAUAUCUACAAUUACAAAUGU